rnacentral:misc_RNA from 1 species
AAGUCGUAACAAGGUUUCCGUAGGUGAACCUGCGGAAGGAUCAUUACAAAUCCCAUUUGAUUCAUAUCUGUUGAAAUGUGAAAAAGUGAGAGAGAGAGAGAGAGGGGUGGUGGUUAGGGUUCGUGAUUGGUUAGGGUUAGGGUUUAGGUCAGGUUUUGUUAUAAAAUACACAACCAUUCUAAUGACUUGUACGACUCCAUCCCUAUACACACACUCGCGUUUCUCUUCUUCAUCACCUCACCUGCUUUCUCACUUUUCUUUUCAUUCUUUUUUGUUGAUCUAUUUUAAAUAUUUCGAUGACACACACUUUACACAACUUGUGACAAUGGAUCUCUAGGCUCUU